GAUGAACGCUGGCGGCGUGCCUAAUACAUGCAAGUCGAGCGAACAGACGAGGAGCUUGCUUCUCAGCCGUUACCGGCGGACGGGUGAGUAACACGUGGAUAACCUACCUAUCAGACUGAGAUAACUGCGGGAAACCGGAGCUACUACCGGAUAAUAUAUUCAACCGCAUGGAUCAAUAGUGAAAGACGGCUUUGCUGACACUUAUAGAUGAUUCCCCGCCGGAUUAGCUAGUUGGUAACGUAACCGCAUACCAAGGCAAGGAUGAAGAGCCGACCUGAGGAAGUGAUCGGGCACACUGGAGCUGAGACACGGCCCCGACUCCUACGGGAGGCAGCAGUAGGGAAUCUUGCAGGAAGCAGGAGAGCAUAACGGAGCAACGCCGCGUGAGUGAUGAAGGUCUUCGGAGCGUAAGAAUAUGUUUUUAGGAUAGAACAAAUGUGUAAGUAACUAUGCACGUCUUGACGGUACCUACUCAGAAAGCCACGGCUAACUACGUG
rnacentral:rRNA from 1 species